rnacentral:rRNA from 1 species
AGUGAACGCUGGCGGUAGACCUAACACAUGCAAGUCGAACGGCAGCACAGUAAGAGCUUGCUCUUACGGGUGGCGAGUGGCGGACGGGUGAGGAAUACAUCGGAAUCUACUUUUUCGUGGGGGAUAACGUAGGGAAACUUACGCUAAUACCGCAUACGACCUACGGGUGAAAGCAGGGGAUCUUCGGACCUUGCGCGAUUGAAUGAGCCGAUGUCGGAUUAGCUAGUUGGCGGGGUAAAGGCCCACCAAGGCGACGAUCCGUAGCUGGUCUGAGAGGAUGAUCAGCCACACUGGAACUGAGACACGGUCCAGACUCCUACGGGAGGCAGCAGUGGGGAAUAUUGGACAAUGGGCGCAAGCCUGAUCCAGCCAUACCGCGUGGGUGAAGAAGGCCUUCGGGUUGUAAAGCCCUUUUGUUGGGAAAGAAAAGCAGCAGGUUAAGACCCCGCUGUUCGGACGGUACCCAAAGAAUAAGCACCGGCUAACUUCGU